UUUUCUGUCUUUCUAGAUUAGGCUUCUCUGGUAAACUUGAAGUUUUUUAGAAUGAUUGAUUUUGAUUUCUUUCCAGGUGUAAAUAUGGAUCUAUUUGAACACCUGAAUAUAAAAAUCAUAGGUACUUUUACAUUUCCAUUUGGUACUUCAGAUUAAGGAGUUUUAAAUGCAGUUCUUCAGCUGUGUAGCUGAGGCUGCAGACUUCUUUGUCAAGAACUGUCUUCUUUCAGUGGAAAGUUCUUCCCUGGAAGUCUUCUCUAAUAUUUCUCAUAGUUUCCUGUGCUUUACUUUCAACAAAACUUUUUUCCCCAUCUGAAGUAACAAUAUUUGAAUAUUUUCUUUUUAAGAAAUGUCUUAUAUGAGAGCUAUUAUUGAUUUUGUUUUUUUACCCAGUCAUAUUUUACUAAUUCAUGCAGAUUUUCCAGUAAGAUUUUUAUAGCAAUCAUGGCCACUGUAUUCUUGCUCCUAAAGUCUAAAAUAGAGCUUAAACCUGGAUUUUGAGACAUGAAGUUUGUAAUGCUGGUAUAAGAUUUCAAUCUUUAACUUUUCAGCACUGUACUGAAAAGCAGUAAGAUCUCAUCGAAUGCUUCAAUUGGAGAGACUUGACAUUUUUUAAAGUAAAUAUAUUCUAACUUUGUUUCUGGAAUUCUUGAUCUUAAAUCAAAUAAGGGAAAAGAGUUCAACUGUCUACUUGGGAAGUAGGAAGGAGCAGCUAUGCCCUUUUGUAUUUCAGAUGAGCUAGAUGUCUGAAGAUAGCUGGGCUUGUUUACUGGACUAACAGUUAUGUACAGCCAUACACAUAGUAUCAAUUAAAACCUACAGUUUUUAAAGUGCGCGAUAGGCAGGUUUUCUUAUGCUAGAGUUUUGCCAUUCAGUCUGCAAAAAACCCCUGAAUUGCAUCAGAAAUUCUUACUCGAAAAUGUCAUAACUGUCAUCAUAAAUAGAGGUAUCUUAGACUGAAAUGUUUUAAUUAAAGUUAACAAUUGCCCAUUUUAAGAGCAUUAGUAAAUGUUUUCAAUAUGAAAUAUAGGUUUAAUUUUUCACUUCAGUAAUUAACUUUUUUCCAGUUGUAUGACUUUCUUGUAGAUCUCCCAUUGUUCCAAGGAUGGAUUAAAUGCAGUCAGAGGGGAGCCAUGAUUUGAUGGAUGUGAUACAUUCUGCUAGAGUAGCAAUGUCCAAUUAUAGAUUCUUUUCAAUUGGACAUGGACUAUGCUCUGUGAAUCUUGCUACACUAAUUUAAAGUUUUGAUACUCUACUGUUUUAAAUCCUUUCUUUUGUAACAAGGUUGAUGUUUUGAAAUGUAAUUUAAAAUUCAUAUAGUUAUCUUUCAUUUAUUUGUUAAAUGGUUUCAUUUUUAGGCAUGCAUGAUGAAAUCCUUAUCCUUUUGACUCUACAGGACAAGUUAGGAAACCACAUUGUGUAUUUACUGUUUGUAUUUUAUAUCGGUGUAACUCAGUAUAGUUUCCCAUUCUCAGUUCUUGAACAAUCUAAGCUGUUUAGUAGCGUGUUAAAAUGAUGGUUCUGAAAUUUACAUUUUACAUAUCUUUGUUUUCUUCUUUGAGCAUUAAAUUAAGCAUGGAGUUUAGGUUGUUUACAUUUAUCAAAAUGUUACAACUGAAUUUAUUGAGGACUGUAAUGAAAUAGUAUUUUCUUGCAAGUUUGGAAAUGUCUUCAUUUAUUUUAAAGCUGACUUUUCUUCUUCUUAGCUCAGUGGCUAGCAGUUUUGCCACGGAUCAUAAAUGCUUCUUUGCUUCUCUCCUUUUAAGUUCUUUGAAGACUUGAGCAUGCACCUACUUUUAUGACUUGUGUGAAGUUACACACCCCAAUAAGCUGUGGUGUGAUCAGGUUCUUAAAACACUUUUUAUAGAAAAGAGGAAGACACAUGCAAAAAUACUAAUUUUUAGUCUAACAAAUGUGUUAUUGUGCUGGUAGAACAGAAAAGGUUUGAAGAUGAGAAUUUUACUUGUGGCAGACUCCCAGCCUAUCCUGUGAGUCUUUAGCAUGGUGCAGAAUGCUAUGGCCUUGUCCAUGUCAUGAGUCAGUGGUUGUAUGUGAGGUCCUUUAAAGUCUCUUCCUAUGUUUCACAGUGUCUCUGCUAGAUCCAGAGUCAUUAGUGAAGGGACUUGACUGGACUGAAUUCCUUGCUGUGUAAAAGAAUUCCUGUGUGAUCUAAAGGCUCUGGAUUUUGGACUGUGACUCAUUCGUCUGUCUCAGUGGAGGAACUGGCUGUCUACAGAGGUGCGCCAGGUGGGAGCAGCAAUUACUUUGGCUCCACUGAUUUUUGCACAGUUGUGUAUGUAGUAAUGUUUUAGGUGAAUCAUGCGGUCUUGUAUUUAGACCUCCUAAAUUUAUCUAAGUAUUUGAUUCUUAUUGGUUGUUUUUUGCUUUGGGUUCAGCUUCUUUGUAAUUUUUACUCCCAUCUAUUUUUUAUGGGACUGUUGGAAGAUAAUCAUUAAUGGGUGUGAGGCAUUCAGAUAUUGGUAGGGCGGUGAUGUAAUCAGCUAGAGAGAUUCCCUAAAUGAAAGUGGGGCUUUUGGAAUCUCUUUACAUGCUGUGAGAAGUCCUGAGGUGGACUCAUCUUUGUGAUAUUCAAAAAACAAACAAACAAAAAACCCCAAACUAUACAGCCUGUUUCUCCUGGACUCUUAUCUAAAAUUUAUCCAUGUUUGUAAAUCUCAGCCCUAGACUACUAUGAAGUUUAUCGGAUUAAUUAAGAAAAAUGAAUAGACUAAUGUAUUGAAACUCUAAUGGCUGCAUUUAUCUUUAAUCUAAUGGUAUUCACUUUUUCCUGUCUCUGGAAACGUUGCAUAUUCUUGCUGCUGGCUUUCAAGCUCUCAUGUCUUUAGCUGCUGAAAAUCUGUGCAUUGCUGUUCUUCUGGAGUACUCAUGGAAAGAUGUUUACUUCUAGAUGAUUCUCUCAGAAACACUCAGAUGCCUACCUGUAAAACAGCUGUACAUUAUUGUUAACAAAACAUUGAAGCACUGAACAUCUUCAGGUAAAAAUGGCUUCUUCCUUAAAACGUGUUUACUAAGCUUCUGAAUCUACGUGACCAAAUAAUUGUUUUCAGCUCCGUUAGAAUAAAGGGGUUGCUUCAGAUGUAAAACCACAGAUUUACAAAUAGCAACGGAUGAUUUAAAGUGACAUCAGUCAACCUGAUUUUCGUAACUGUCUAAAAAUGUUAAAGUUAACUGUUAAAAAUGUUGAAGUUCUUAACAAAGUACCCUCUAAGUAAGUCAAGACUUCUUAAAAAAAAAUCUUUGAAGAUAUAUACUCAAGAAUCUUUAAGUAUCCUGAUGUUAUACAGAAACUAGUAAUGCCUCACUCAAACAGUAAGAACUUAAAUGAUACACAAGGUGGGGACUGUAUAAUUGCUGUAAAAAAUAUAUGUUUAUGUAAGUGCUUUCCUAUUUUCUAUUUCAUACAAGUUGAUGGUACAUCUCUAAUUAAUCAAGGCCAUGUAUUAUAUUUUAAUGAUAUAACCUCAUUCUUACUACUGUGCUUUGUUCUCAAGGGCUUUUUUUGAAUAAUUUGGCAUAACUAAUGUUUUCCAAUGAUCUGAAGUUGAAUGAGAAUAAUUAUUAGUACACUGUUUGCUUUGGUGGUUGUAUUACAUUAACUGCACGGGUUUUUUGAGGUGGCGAUUUGCUACAGAACUCUGUCCUGUGCAAUUAUUUCAGUGGUUUUUGUGCAUUUGAACUUGUGACCAAAUCUGAAAUUCAAAAAUUUAUUAAAUGAAAAAAAGAAGCCCAAGAUGCUUUUUGAUAACUUUUGUUUGUUUGUUUUUCCUCUGUCAAAAACCAUUAAUUGCUGGUGCUUUUACUUUGAGCAAGAAAACUAAAGACUCUAAAAUAAAAUAUGCCUGGUUUGGGUAAUUUAUUAGAUUAAAUACAGAUAGAAGUUAAAGAAAGAUGUGUGUAGAACAUUGUAGUUAAUGACCUGUAUUCUUUCACCAAAAUGGUGAAGGUUGUGUUACCAAGUCAAAGAUACCCAUCUACAAUUUUACAAGUUAGUUACCUUCAAAUCACUGAAUCAUAUUUACUGUUUUGGAAAUCUUUUAACAAGCUGCCGCACCAUCUCAAAACUCACUCCCUUAGAAACAUACCUCUAAUUUCUUUUGAGGAUGUAUGUAAUAGAAAUAUAUCCAAUAGAUUUUUUUUUUUUGAGAAAAGUGGAUUAACACUUUUUUUUUCAUGAUAGCUGAAUCUCCACUGAACACAUGACUCAAGUAUGUAGGGGCCACAUAACAUAUGCAUCAUAAAAAAAUACCAGUGCAAGUUUUCCUGCAGUGUUUCAAAAAUAUCAGUCCUGAUCUUCUAAAGAUUUUACGGUAUCCUUGAUCUAUCUCUUAAGAAUGGUGAAUAUUGCUGACUGCUAAUCUUUUCUGUAUAUUAUGUGGGAUAUGUGUACUAGAAAUUAUUCUAAUUCAGCUCAUAGGUAUCCUCAUAGUUCUCAUACCUAAGGUGGAUGAGAACAACGACAAAUGAAAAAAGGUAUAUUAAAGAGUUUGGAAGUAACAUUCUUAGAGGGAAUACCGUUUCUCAGCAGUCAGAGGUAUAAUGUUUAGGUUAGUUAAUUCAAUUGCUAUCUGAGAGAAGUGAAAUUGAAUCUCUGAAAUAUAAGACAGGAGACAAACAAUUGGCAAUAAAGCAGUUGAAAUUCCUAAGGGGAGGAUCUUGUGAUAAAACAAAUAUCCAGAAAUCAGAUCGUAGAAAUGAUAUGUGAUCAUGAAUCUGGAAGGCAUUCCCAAGGAGACAUUAUCUUAGAUAGCGUUCCAAAAAAAAAAAAAAAAGAAAAACCUGUCACCAGAUUAUCUUGACUUUGGUGGUGGUGCCAUUCUUGAGUUCUUACUCAAGUAUAUGGGCAGAAUUAUUUAAGCAGAUCAGCUCUUUUCUGAAUCUGCACUUUAAGAAUAAGGCCUUAUUUUUAGAAACUUGAAAUAUUUCAGAUUUAAUUGGAGAAUUCGAUGUGUAUAAAAUGCUUGACUAUGAAAAGAAUGGAAUAGGCUUGUAGGAAUAUGUGAAGGCUAUGAACAUGUGAUUGGAAAAUGUAUGGCAUAUUGCAAAAAUUUACAUACAAAAAUCAUGCUAAAAAUAGUGGCUUUUUUAAAUCUAGUUUCUCUAAUUUGCACUAAUUAAUGAAUAUUUUUCAAAAUACCUCUUGCAGGUGUAGGCUUAAACAGGACAGUUAGUUUCUCUAAAUUGCGUCCCAUUUGGCUGUUGUGUUUCUCACUUCUGUUGUAGAAGUUCAGAGCCCACAGGAACCCUGAGCAUGGGGUUUAGAAAUAAAAGCAAAUUAAAUGUGAAAUA